GGGUUGUGAGGUUAAGCGACUAAGCGUACACGGUGGAUGCCCUGGCAGUCAGAGGCGAUGAAGGGCGUGCUAAUCUGCGAUAAGCGCCGGUAAGGUGAUAUGAACCGUUAUAACCGGCGAUACCCGAAUGGGGAAACCCAGUGUGAUUCGUCACACUAUCAUUAACUGAAUCCAUAGGUUAAUGAGGCGAACCGGGGGAACUGAAACAUCUAAGUACCCCGAGGAAAAGAAAUCAACCGAGAUUCCCCCAGUAGCGGCGAGCGAACGGGGAGGAGCCCAGAGCCUGAAUCAGCAUGUGUGUUAGUGGAAGCGUCUGGAAAGGCGCGCGAUACAGGGUGACAGCCCCGUACACAAAAAGCGCAUGUGCUGUGAGCUCGAUGAGUAGGGCGGGACACGUGGUAUCCUGUCUGAAUAUGGGGGGACCAUCCUCCAAGGCUAAAUACUCCUGACUGACCGAUAGUGAACCAGUACCGUGAGGGAAAGGCGAAAAGAACCCCGGCGAGGGGAGUGAAAAAGAACCUGAAACCGUGUACGUACAAGCAGUGGGAGCACCCUUUGGGGUGUGACUGCGUACCUUUUGUAUAAUGGGUCAGCGACUUAUAUUCUGUAGCAAGGUUAACCGUAUAGGGGAGCCGGAGGGAAACCGAGUCUUAAUUGGGCGUUAAGUUGCAGGGUAUAGACCCGAAACCCGGUGAUUCAGCCAUGGGCAGGUUGAAGGUUGGGUAACACUAACUGGAGGACCGAACCGACUAAUGUUGAAAAAUUAGCGGAUGACCUGUGGCUGGGGGUGAAAGGCCAAUCAAACCGGGAGAUAGCUGGUUCUCCCCGAAAGCUAUUUAGGUAGCGCCUCGUGAAUUCAUCUCCGGGGGUAGAGCACUGUUUCGGCUAGGGGGCCAUCCCGGCUUACCAACCCGAUGCAAACUGCGAAUACCGGAGAAUGUUAUCACGGGAGACACACGGCGGGUGCUAACGUCCGUCGUGAAGAGGGAAACAACCCAGACCGCCAGCUAAGGUCCCAAAGUCAUGGUUAAGUGGGAAACGAUGUGGGAAGGCCCAGACAGCCAGGAUGUUGGCUUAGAAGCAGCCAUCAUUUAAAGAAAGCGUAAUAGCUCACUGGUCGAGUCGGCCUGCGCGGAAGAUGUAACGGGGCUAAACCAUGCACCGAAGCUGCGGCAGCGACACUGUGUGUUGUUGGGUAGGGGAGCGUUCUGUAAGCCUGUGAAGGUGUGUCGUGAGGCAUGCUGGAGGUAUCAGAAGUGCGAAUGCUGACAUAAGUAACGAUAAAGCGGGUGAAAAGCCCGCUCGCCGGAAGACCAAGGGUUCCUGUCCAACGUUAAUCGGGGCAGGGUGAGUCGACCCCUAAGGCGAGGCCGAAAGGCGUAGUCGAUGGGAAACGGGUUAAUAUUCCCGUACUUGGUGUUACUGCGAAGGGGGGACGGAGAAGGCUAUGUUGGCCGGGCGACGGUUGUCCCGGUUUAAGCGUGUAGGCUGGUUUUCCAGGCAAAUCCGGAAAAUCAAGGCUGAGGCGUGACGACGAGGCACUACGGUGCUGAAGCAACAAAUGCCCUGCUUCCAGGAAAAGCCUCUAAGCAUCAGGUAACACGAAAUCGUACCCCAAACCGACACAGGUGGUCAGGUAGAGAAUACCAAGGCGCUUGAGAGAACUCGGGUGAAGGAACUAGGCAAAAUGGUGCCGUAACUUCGGGAGAAGGCACGCUGACAUGUAGGUGAAGUGAUUUACUCAUGGAGCUGAAGUCAGUCGAAGAUACCAGCUGGCUGCAACUGUUUAUUAAAAACACAGCACUGUGCAAACACGAAAGUGGACGUAUACGGUGUGACGCCUGCCCGGUGCCGGAAGGUUAAUUGAUGGGGUCAGCGCAAGCGAAGCUCCUGAUCGAAGCCCCGGUAAACGGCGGCCGUAACUAUAACGGUCCUAAGGUAGCGAAAUUCCUUGUCGGGUAAGUUCCGACCUGCACGAAUGGCGUAAUGAUGGCCAGGCUGUCUCCACCCGAGACUCAGUGAAAUUGAACUCGCUGUGAAGAUGCAGUGUACCCGCGGCAAGACGGAAAGACCCCGUGAACCUUUACUAUAGCUUGACACUGAACAUUGAGCCUUGAUGUGUAGGAUAGGUGGGAGGCUUUGAAGUGUGGACGCCAGUCUGCAUGGAGCCGACCUUGAAAUACCACCCUUUAAUGUUUGAUGUUCUAACGUGGACCCGUAAUCCGGGUUGCGGACAGUGUCUGGUGGGUAGUUUGACUGGGGCGGUCUCCUCCUAAAGAGUAACGGAGGAGCACGAAGGUUGGCUAAUCCUGGUCGGACAUCAGGAGGUUAGUGCAAUGGCAUAAGCCAGCUUGACUGCGAGCGUGACGGCGCGAGCAGGUGCGAAAGCAGGUCAUAGUGAUCCGGUGGUUCUGAAUGGAAGGGCCAUCGCUCAACGGAUAAAAGGUACUCCGGGGAUAACAGGCUGAUACCGCCCAAGAGUUCAUAUCGACGGCGGUGUUUGGCACCUCGAUGUCGGCUCAUCACAUCCUGGGGCUGAAGUAGGUCCCAAGGGUAUGGCUGUUCGCCAUUUAAAGUGGUACGCGAGCUGGGUUUAGAACGUCGUGAGACAGUUCGGUCCCUAUCUGCCGUGGGCGCUGGAGAACUGAGGGGGGCUGCUCCUAGUACGAGAGGACCGGAGUGGACGCAUCACUGGUGUUCGGGUUGUCAUGCCAAUGGCACUGCCCGGUAGCUAAAUGCGGAAGAGAUAAGUGCUGAAAGCAUCUAAGCACGAAACUUGCCCCGAGAUGAGUUCUCCCUGAGACUUAAAGUCUCCUGAAGGAACGUUGAAGACGACGACGUUGAUAGGCCGGGUGUGUAAGCGCAGCGAUGCGUUGAGCUAACCGGUACUAAUGAACCGUGAGGCUUAACCUUACAACGCCGAAG
rnacentral:rRNA from 1 species